CUGGAUCGGCCUUGUGCUGACUGGCUCAGCCCCCUGGCCUGGAAGGAACAAAUCUGGCUGCUGGCUGUGGCCCCCACAGGGCACCUGAACCAUGAGUUCCCAGGCCGCUCUCUGACCCAGAGCUGCCACUUGUGGCUUCUCCUGGAGGCGAGCCUGGACUUUGGACUCAGGCUGCGGGAGACCUGCAGGAAGUGGUGUGGUGUCGUGAGGCGCCCUAGGACAGUGGCCAGGAGACUGGGACCACAUCCAUUAGCUGUGCCCCUGCCCAGGAGGCCCUGGCUGGAAGAUUGGGGGACUGGCUCUGACUCGCUGAGCCAAGAAGGAGGGGCAGGAGAGAUGCAGGCGCCCUGUUCCGUGGGCACAUGAAGCGCCAUGGUGUCCGCUGUCUGCGUGUGUGACAGUUUCAGUGCUCAGAGGGCACACCCCAGGUGCUGACAGCAUUAACCCGCAGUGCGCUUGCUCCCGGGCAAAAGCCCUGGCGAGGCGGAUGCAUUUCAGCUGUGCGGUGACACCGCCCGCACCUCCUGGUAUUGAGUGACCCCAACAAAAUCGUUCUCAUAAUUCUCCAGCCCAUCACAAUAUCUAGAGAUCUGGGCCCAGUGGGAGAGAGAAAGAACCCACCAAUUACUGAUGUUCAAAGGGCUGGCUUUGUGUUAAAAAUGGGUGGGGAGCCCUCUGUAAAUGUCAGAUUUUAAACGUGUCUUUAAAAGCAUCCUCCUGGCUGCUCGCUGCUGGGCCUCUGCUCAGCCUCCCUUGUUUCCUGGGAGCUGCACCCUGGGGGCACCUGCCUUGACACACAGCCGGCUGCCCGCUGCCAGCUGCCCGGGGCCUGAGUUGGCUCUGUGUGAAAUUCCACAGCAGCAGGCAGCCCUGGCUGCGGGUGGGCCGAGGCAUGCAGCUCCCGCCCCCUCCGGCCCUCCUUCAGUUCUCUCCAGUGCCAUUUGGAAAGCAGUGUCCCUGGAAGGCCAAGGUGCUGGCAGCUUCCUGCUGGGCGCCCGCCGUGCGUGCUGGACCCGAGCCACACCCUGCUCACCCACAGGCCGGGGCAGGAGCAAGCUGGCCGGCUUUUCGCAAACUCUGAGCCCAAGAGGGUUUAUAGCCCUCAUUUUUCUAACUGGAAAGGUUUCUUAGUAACCACCGUGUUCCUGAUUGCCUCUGUUCUGCCUGUGCCCCGUGCAGUCCACAGUUUUAAAACAGAGAGUUUCAGCUGCUGCAAAAUGUCAAAAUGUCACACCCCUCUGUGGCCGAGCUGGGGGUCACAGUUUCCAGUUUCAAAGGCUGCAGGACGAAGACUUUGCCGAGUCACCUCCUUGAGCCAGCAACAUCUAAAGGGUCUCACGGUUACAAUCACAGCCCUCAGGGUCAUGGGGCCCAGGACCCAAAACACCUAGAGCUUCCUUCCCCGUUCAGCCAGCAGACUGGGGGUGGGGAAGUGAGACCGUCUGGCCGCGGUCACCCGGGACGCCACCUGCCUCCGCAGAUAUGCGUGCUGACAGCGCUCUAGGGGACUGACUCUGCAGCGACAGGAGAGCAGCAGGACACAUGCAAGUGGCGACAAUGGAGAGCAAGACCCACACCAUCAUCGCCCUAACACGAGUUCCGCUGCAACCCGGGGGAAUUCCUAGCCUACGCACUGAGAAGUCAGCUUUCUAGUUCCCCAUGGACCUUGUUUUAAAAUAGCUCUUCCAGUGCUUGUCCCCUUCUGCCUUGCAUCGUGGCCACUGGUGUUCUGGCCCCGUUUCCCCCUUUCAACAAGUUCCCGCAAAGCAGAGGCCAUAUUUUUCUCGCUGUAGUUUAAUGCAUUUAGUAAGCAUUUAUGAACUGCCAUACUCAAUGCGGAAAAGCGAGAGUGGACAAGUCAAGAUUUCUUUUCUCAAGAAACUCACAGAGUAGUGAAGGAGACGGAUAUCCAGUAUCUGUCACGUUAGACAUUGGCAAAUAUCUGUCACCAGGAAAACAGGCGUUCUGAAAGGAGGCACGGAAGAGAGCGGUCGGUCGCCCCCUAGGGGGCCGGGCGGCUGGGCAAACCUGUGGAGCAGGAGCGGGUGGGCGGCGGCUGGCCCACACAGGAGCAGGUGAGGGAAUUGGGCCUUCACCCUACAGUAGUGGGGUCACUGACAGUUCUUAAGCAGAUAACAUUAAUUUUUUUUUAAGCAGAUCCGUCUGGGAUAAGGGUGGAUAAGACAAGGCUGGUGGCAGAGAAAUUCGUUUGGAAGAGAUGGCAGCCGUCUCAGUGAGAACUGGGGGUCUGAACCGGGGUGGAGCUGGUGGGGGUGGAGAAGGAUGGCAGGAGGUAAGAGAUGUUUCGGAGGUCAGCUUGACAAGGGGGAGGAAAAAGGGACAUCCUGGGUUGGUCCCAGGGAGAGGUUCAGCAGCCAGCUGGCUACAGAUGGAGGCCAGCGCUGCAGGAGAGGGUGGGACCCCUAGGGUUCACGUGUGGGUUUUCAGGGGACACCGACCCCCCUGAAGCUGCACGUAAAGUUGUACACACGCUGUGUGUGUUGCCGGGAAGAUAACGCAUACAUUUUGCCAUUUAACAGUCACUGCUACAGUGAUGUAAGGGGGAGGGGUCACGAGCAGAGCCUUGCGGGGGUGGAGGGCACCGAUGUCUACGACGGAGCAAAAGCAAAGGAGGAGCUUCAGGUGGAGGGCAGCGCCUCCUGUAUAUCAUUUCCUCAAUAGGCUGCUAUUGAAUUAACCGUGAAAUUCGGUAGACUUUGCUCUCAGAUUUAACUACUAUUCAUUGCAUGCUAAUUGAAUUCUGGGUCUUACUUCUAGAUCUACCUAAGACCUUUCUGACUCUCAAAAUCCAAGGCUUGCGGGCUCAGGGACUUCUGGGCGUUUGCGUGUGGCAGUUUCUUCCGGGAGUCUUUCCUCUUGACCGUGCCUCCCCUCAUUAUAGGCUGUUGGAGCUCAUUAGAGGAUGGCCUGUGAGUUCGUCUUUACGAUCAAAGGUCAGCUGGGGGACUUGUGUCCAGGCUGCCCCACACACCCUGCACCUCAGGCCCAGGCCCUCGCUCUCCCCAGACUGCCUCUGUGUGGUUUUUCUUUCGGGAAGGCUUGGCUUCCCUUUCUUACUCAGGUAACUGACUGCCUCUACAUCUUGGAACUCUUCUGGGCUUCUUGUAGUUGCCCCUGGCAACGGCUGAGCACAGUGGCUUACCUGGCUUGGAUUCUGACCAGACCCUAGCAUCGGAGCCUUGCAAGGAUACACACGAUCAGACCAGCCCCCACCCCGAUGCCUGGACAUUCUCUGCAGCCUCCUCCGUGCCCCACGAACACCCUGCCUCACCCGCUACGGGCACAGUUUGUGGUUAGUAAACACAGCAGAAAGCACAGAGAGACGGACAGAAGGAAAUGGAAAUCCCUACGAUGUCACCACCCAGAGAGAACCGCUGACAACGUUUCGGUCUAUGGCCUUCCAGAUUCUUCUGUGAAACAGAAGUGGGCUUGUGAGAUACAGACUGUCUGAAACCUAUGUUGUGAAUUUAACAUCCACUGCGAACUUUUUUCUGUAUUAAUAUAUAUGCUAUUACUUGUUUAGAUCAAUAUAUUCUCAUACAUAUUGUGUGAA